UACGUAGGGUGCGAGCGUUAAUCGGAAUUACUGGGCGUAAAGCGUGCGCAGGCGGUUGUGCAAGACCGAUGUGAAAUCCCCGGGCUUAACCUGGGAACUGCAUUUGUGACUGCAUGGCUAGAGUGCGGCAGAGGGGGAUGGAAUUCCGCGUGUAGCAGUGAAAUGCGUAGAUAUGCGGAGGAACACCGAUGGCGAAGGCAAUCCCCUGGGCCUGCACUGACGCUCAUGCACGAAAGCGUGGGGAGCAAACAGG
rnacentral:rRNA from 1 species